UGUCCAGACCACCAGUCACUUUUUCAUGCUAAAUAAUGCAGAACGUAAAUAAACAUUUUUCAUUCUGGACGAAUAACAAAAAAACGGGAAAAUAAUUUUUUUGUACUAUGGAGUGUGUUUUUUUCUGAAAAGAAAAUGAAAGAGAAAAGCAGAAGAGCGAAGAAAAUGAAAACAACCCUUACGAAAAGUGGUUUUUGUUUGGCCUGAAUAUGGUUUCCGAGUGGCUCAAAAAUUGUGUCCAAACGAGAAUCCAUUCCGAUUCCUUCCACUCCAUUUUCUGGCCGUAGUACAGCGGAACGACCUUUUACUAUUAUCAAAUAUUUAAAUUCGUUGUCCAGAAACGAACGGAUGGAACUAUUGGACAUAAAGUUGAGAAAAACUCGGCAAAUGGACUCUACCUUGUCCUCAAUUUUAUAGAAUCCUGAAUAACAGAUCUAAAUUGAAGUGGUUCUUGGACAGUUAUCUUCUUCCAUUUUUUGUCUGAAAUGGAAGGCUGUGUGGCGAGGAUUCCAAAGUGAGGCAAGCGUGUUUUGUUUAUUUGGUUAGCAG